GAUAGCCCUCCCAGUCUCAGAUCUGGCCGGCCGGACCGACUGGCGCCGUGCCGACGAGGCGACGACGAAGGCGUAUGUGUACAUGGGUUUGAUCUUUCUCGCUCUCUCUCCGCUUCCGCUCCUCUCUCUCUCCGCGUGUCGAACGUCCGCUGUGUCCGAUGGGAUCGGUCGGGGGCUGCGGUGGAGGGUUGAUGAUGGUGUGAAUGGCUGACAGAAGAGAGUGAGCACACAGCGGCAGACUACGUCUGGUAAAGAGGACGGAUGGAUGCGAAGAGAUAUAGACGCAGCUGCUGUUGCGUGCUCACCCUCUCUCUGUCAGCUCUCUCUCCCCCUUGGGACUUGUUCCGCCAUCAAUCAGUCUAUCCAUCUCCCCUUGCCGUUCCCAUCGCUUCGCAGCCAUCUUUGCCUGCAUCGACUGCCGGGAAGAGGCAGGAUGAGGCUUUGUCUUGCUUGCUGUGUCCCCACCUGAGCCCUAUCUUGUCCGGACUCCGACGGCCUAGCCUAGCCCCCUGCUCUUUGGAAUAAGGAUUAGCUAUCGCCUUGGGGGAAGGGAGACGCGUGUUGAUUCGAUUAACGCAGGUGGUGUUAUUUUGCUCGACUCCCCAGGAGUGCUUAACGGAAAGCACUGUUUGACCGGUCCUUGCCAUGCCCUUCUCCCUCCUCCUCAUCUUCUUCUUCCUCCUGUACUCCACCCCCUCUCUUUGUUGCUGCUUUAACUUUUUUGGAUCACGAAAUCUCCAUCGUUUUUCUCCCCCUUUUGCGUCCUCAUCUCAUGUGCUGCUGUGAGAGGCGGGCAGGAAGGACGAAGGAGGCGGCUAUGGUGGCGGCGGCGCAGAUCUACAAUACUUGACUGCAAGUGGAAAGCUGGCACGUAGCCGAUGGCGACGCCGCCUCCCAGAUCUGUGGGAACGUUCGAACAACAGAUGCUUGCUGCCUUCCAGGAGAUGAAGUGGCUGCAUGGGGGCACGCUUGUCGUUUGCUACUUUCAGCAUGCCUACAGAGAUUGUGUUUUAUGAUCAAUCAAGAUUAUCCACAUCUCCAUCUGGAAUGUGUUGGGAGAAGUUGGAGCAGAACAGAAAUAAUUAAACCCCUACAGCCAAGUAAUGUAAUCAAAAGGAGGAAGCUGUGCCGCCAAGCCUCGGGAACUUGUGCCGAAGAUGUAUUUCUCAUUUGGUGAAUCCAUGGUACCACUUCUAUUUAUCUAUCAUGAAUUCCAGUCAGCCCUUUCUGGCGUUCGUGGUUUCUGGCUUCAUCAGGAAAUAUGGCAUAAACGGGAUGAUCUUUUUUUCCGUGCAAUUCAGGAGACCGUUGGAGUGCUAUGGGAAGCAUUAUCCUUUUCCUCACGUUCGUCAUCUCUUGAAAACAUUGUAGUUUCCUCGUCACGUCUUGUAAGUUUCAGAUUUUGUGCUCGAAUAUCUGCUGGUAUAUGCCCUCCAUCUCAAUGAAGAAGUAUGCAGUUUAGCGUGAAGAAUAGACACAGUUGAUCAUCCGUCUCCUGAACAAUAUCUAUGUCUGGUUUGGUAAGCUAGCUGAAGUCUGCUAUUUGCUUCUGAGACUGGACUCACGAUCUCUGUAACAGAUUGUCUUUCUGUACAAAAUAAAUUUCACUGUAAAUUUGAAGCUGCUUCUAUUUUCGGUUGGAGGGGUCAACGUUGCUAUUUUCUGAAUGUAGCGGCACUGCCUCCAGUUUCACUUUCAUAGAACAGAUGAAACCGUCCAUACGGCACUCCA